rnacentral:rRNA from 1 species
GGUUAAGCGACUAAGCGUACACGGUGGAUGCCCAGGCAGUCAGAGGCGAUGAAGGACGUGCUAAUCUGCGUAAAGCGACGGUAAGGUGAUAUGAACCGCUACAGCCGUCGAUGUCCGAAUGGGGAAACCCGGUGCACUCUGUGCAUCAUUGCAGCAUGAAUACAUAGUGCUGCAAGGCGAACCGGGGGAACUGAAACAUCUAAGUACCCCGAGGAAAAGAAAUCAACCGAGAUUCCCCCAGUAGCGGCGAGCGAACGGGGAGCAGCCCAGAGCCUGAAUCAGCUUGUGUGUUAGUGGAAGCGUCUGGAAAGUCGCAGGGUACAGGGUGAUACUCCCGUACACAAAAACACACAUGCUGUGAGCUCGAUGAGUAAGGCG